rnacentral:rRNA from 1 species
GCUUAGCCUUAAACCUAAAUARUUAAUUAAACAAAAUUAUUCGCCAGAGUACUACUAGCAAUAGCUUGAAACUCAAAGGACUUGGCGGUGCUUCAUAUCCCUCUAGAGGAGCCUGUCCUAUAAACGAUAAACCCCGAUAAACCUCACCAAUCCUAGCUAAUGCAGCCUAUAUACCGCCAUCCUCAGCAAACCCUAAUAAAGGAACCAUAGUAAGCAAGAUCAUUGAAACAUAAAAACGUUAGGUCAAGGUGUAGCUUAUGGAUUGGGAAGAGAUGGGCUACAUUUUCUAAAACAGAAUAAGACGAAUACCCUUAUGAAAAUAAGGGUUAAAGGAGGAUUUAGUAGUAAGACAAGAAUAGAGAGCUUGACUGAAUUAGGCCCUGAAG